UGACCGGUGGCUCAGUGGUUAGAGCAUUUGCCUGCACACCAAAGGGUCACAGGUUUGAUUCCCAGUCAA
rnacentral:tRNA from 1 species